UUACCGGAAAGGGGACGUCUAGUCGUAAACACCCCCCGUUUAUCUUGUAGUCUUAGGAGCACGGUCACAUUUUCAUUCAUUCACAGUGUAUUCUCACUCAGUUUACGCGCCUCUUCAUCAAAGCACUUGAGCCGAAAGUGCACACAAGUGUCCGCUGGGCCAAACAACGAAUUCAGAUGUCUUCCCUCGCCUCCAGCAUCCCAUCCGUCCUCCUGAACACGGGGGUUCGUAUGCCCAUCCUGGGUUUAGGGACCUACAAGUCGGUGGUUCCUGAAGACGUGCACAGGGCCGUGGACGCGGCGCUGCUCGCUGGUUAUCGGGCCUUUGACAGUGCCGCCAUGUACCAGAAUGAAGCCGCCUUUGGCCGAGCCUUGAGGGAGCUCCUGCCCAAACAUGGCUUAACCAGAGAGGAUGUAUUCAUAACCAGUAAGCUGGACUCCAAGGAUCAGGGUGAGAAAGCCAUGGAAGGAGCCCUGUGCAGCCUGUCUCAGCUGGACCUGGGUUACAUUGACCUCUACCUGAUCCACUGGCCUGGCACAGAUGGCCUGGAUGUGUCUGACCAACGCAACUCAGACAACCGAGCUCAGAGUUGGGCCACGCUGGAGGAGCUGCAUGCUCAGGGGAAGCUGAAGGCCAUUGGAGUGUCAAACUACACACCAGCACACAUGAGAGAACUGAUGCAGAGCUGCAAAGUCCCUCCUGCAGUGCUGCAGGUAGAAUUCCACCCCAAGUAUAUCCAGACUGAGCUGAGGAAAGUGUGCAAGGAGUAUGGAGUGUGUUUCCAGGCGUACUCCUCCUUGGGGAAAGGAAAUCUGAUCACUGACCCCGUGGUCUUGGAGGUGGCAAAGAACUGCGAACGCACCCCUGGACAGGUCCUCUUGCGCUGGGCUGUGCAGCAGGGCGUCCCAGUGAUCCCAAAGUCGUCAAAUCCAGAGCGAAUAAAGGACAACGGCAGGAUUUUUGACUUCACGCUGAGCGACGCGGACAUGGACAAACUGUCAGCUUUGGACUGUGGGCGCAAAUACUGUCGGGAUGCAGCACUGGUGGUUUAAGAGACGUCCCAAGAAAAUAAUAAUGACAAACUUUAUUGUGUAGCACCUUUCGUACAAGAGAUGUGGGACAAAGUGCUUUGCAGUAAAGGGUGAUGGACAUAGAUCAACAUAGAAAACUGUGCAAAUAACAUUGAAAAUAAAGCACACUGUCCUGCCAUAAUGCCUCUACCGGGGCUCCCACGCAUUAUCCCUAGGGAUUUUUUAGAAAACUGUCCACAAUCUUUCCACUUAUUUCCAAGGCUUAAUCUGCAAUAGGUCAUAGGCCAAGUUUCAUAGAAAGCGCAGUAGGUGGAUGGAUGUUUUGGGGGUUCAGCAGACUCUGUGUACUGAGAGAUGUAACGGUUUGAGUUGAUUUCUUUAGACAACAUUUACCAGUAACUUUUUAUCCCUAUGCCAUGAAACCCUGAUCCUUUUCAGACAGAAGAUGCGUUGCUUACUGAACUCACCCCUUUCUCCCAUUUGUUUCCUGUCAAAGCUGUCAGUGUGCCAUCUUUUUAGGAUGGAUCCCUUAUUUAAAGAAAUACUAUGACUAUCAAUUUUA